rnacentral:misc_RNA from 1 species
GUUCGGUUCAAUUUUCUCAUAUUAAUCUAUUUGGUUUGAUUUUUAAAUUUUUUAUUUUAAAUUUUUGAUUUUAUCAGUUCAGUUCGAUUCGAAACCGAACCGACCAUUUGCAUACCCUUAAAUUCAUUCACGAAAUUAAAAACUUAAUUAUUAAUAUUAACAAACCUCAAGAAUAAUUUUGCAAUAAACCCAUUCUUUUUGUUUAUUUAUUCACCAAUUUUAGCAAAUAAAUUGACUGGCACAAGAAUAUUGGCUGCAGAAU